ensembl:lncRNA
GUGCAUGUCCAGGAGUCACGUCCAAGCUUUCGGGCCGUUUCUAAAGCAGAGAGGCUGUACGAGUGGCAUGGAGUGUGUGGGAGAAGAAAAACCAGCAGGCACAGGCCAGCUCAUUCUCACUCUGCGGCUCUGCAGGGUCACAGGGACUGGAGUCUAUCCCAGGGAGCAUCGGGCACAAGGCAGGGUACACUGUGGACAGGGUGCCAAUCCAUUGCAGGGCACAACAUAACAUUUUCAUUUAUUUAAAAAAAUGAAUUCAGUAAACUGUUGAUUUCCUGGGGUUUUCACCCAGGGAAAAUGCCAGGCAAAUUUUUCCCAAUUUUCAUCUG